rnacentral:rRNA from 1 species
UACGAAGGGGGCGAGCGUUGUUCGGAAUUACUGGGCGUAAAGCGUGCGCAGGCGGUUUGUUAAGACAGAUGUGAAAUCCCCGGGCUUAACCUGGGAACUGCAUUUGUGACUGGCAAGCUAGAGUAUGGCAGAGGGGGGUAGAAUUCCACGUGUAGCAGUGAAAUGCGUAGAGAUGUGGAGGAAUACCGAUGGCGAAGGCAGCCCCCUGGGCCAAUACUGACGCUCAUGCACGAAAGCGUGGGGAGCAAACAGG